rnacentral:rRNA from 1 species
CCAAUAGCGUAUAUUAAAGUUGUUGCAGUUAAAAAGCUCGUAGUUGAACUUCGGGGUCUACCCAUUGGUCAGGCUUAAUUGUCUGCACUGGUGAGAUGGAUCUCUACCUUCUGAGGAACUUUCAUGCCAUUUAUUUGGUGUGAUGGGAAAUCAGGACUGUUACUUUGAAAAAAUUAGAGUGUUUAAAGCAGACUAUCGUCUGAAUACAUUAGCAUGGAAUAAUGAAAUAGGACGGACUGAUUCUAUUUCGUUGGUUUCUAGGAUCACCGUAAUGAUUAAUAGGGAUAGUUGGGGGCAUUAGUAUUCAAUUGUCAGAGGUGAAAUCCUUGGAUUUAUUGAAGACUAACUACUGCGAAAGCAUUUGCCAAGGAUGUUUUCAUUAAUCAAGAACGAAAGUUAGGGGAUCGAAGACGAUCAGAUACCGUCGUAGUCUUAACCAUAAACUAUGCCGACUAGGGAUCGGACGAAGUUAAUUUUAUAAUGACGCGUUCGGCACCUUACG